rnacentral:rRNA from 1 species
GUUAAGCGACUAAGCGUACACGGUGGAUGCCCUGGCAGUCAGAGGCGAUGAAGGGCGUGCUAAUCUGCGAUAAGCGCCGGUAAGGUGAUAUGAACCGUUAUAACCGGCGAUACCCGAAUGGGGAAACCCAGUGUGAUUCGUCACACUAUCAUUAACUGAAUCCAUAGGUUAAUGAGGCGAACCGGGGGAACUGAAACAUCUAAGUACCCCGAGGAAAAGAAAUCAACCGAGAUUCCCCCAGUAGCGGCGAGCGAACGGGGAGGAGCCCAGAGCCUGAAUCAGCAUGUGUGUUAGUGGAAGCGUCUGGAAAGGCGCGCGAUACAGGGUGACAGCCCCGUACACAAAAGCGCAUGUGCUGUGAGCUCGAUGAGUAGGGCGGGACACGUGGUAUCCUGUCUGAAUAUGGGGGGACCAUCCUCCAAGGCUAAAUACUCCUGACUGACCGAUAGUGAACCAGUACCGUGAGGGAAAGGCGAAAAGAACCCCGGCGAGGGGAGUGAAAAAGAACCUGAAACCGUGUACGUACAAGCAGUGGGAGCCCCACCACUAAGCCAGUGGUGAACUCCACAUACGCAUCCUUUGCUGAGGAUACGGUUAACGGAGCGAAAGCGACGUUCAACCGCAAAAGAAGCAGAGGGGGCUUAGUGGUGGGGUGACUGCGUACCUUUUGUAUAAUGGGUCAGCGACUUAUAUUCUGUAGCAAGGUUAACCGUAUAGGGGAGCCGGAGGGAAACCGAGUCUUAACCGGGCGUUAAGUUGCAGGGUAUAGACCCGAA